GAAAGAAUAACACACAAAAGUGAAAAGUUACCAAGUACGGUACAAAUUGCCAAAAGGCAGGACAAUUUUCAGUAGCCAAGCCACAGAAGGGAUUUGUAUGUUAUAAACAAAGGGACAACAGAUGAUUGUCGCGAAGCCUAUCUAAUACAUAAACAGAGAAACUUACUGUUUACUGUUUUGGUAAACUUGCCGACGAAAAUGAAUAUGGCUGCACAAUAUGGCUCGCAUAAGACACUGCAAUGCCCAUGCACACACUAUAGCAGAAAGGGAAGCAGAAAAGCAAUCCAAUUGAUGAAUAGGAACGUCAGCGAGUAUGAUAAGACGGUAACAG
rnacentral:misc_RNA from 1 species